GCCUGGCUGGCUCAGCUGGAAGAGCAUGUGACUCUGGAUCUCAGGGUUGUGGGUUUGAGCCCCACACUGGGUG